UGCUGUGCAGUGAGCACCGAGCGAACUAUUCUUUCGCCUUUUACUAAAGAAUACCGUGUGCUCACUGCAAUUAGCAGCAUGCGCCUAUUUUGGGAGGGCUCGCCUUUUCUGGGUU